CAGCAUGACUUCUCUUCAGUUUCACCUUCCCUGCAAUUUGAGUCUACCAAGUGAAAGUCUCCUCUUCAAGCAACUUUAGCCCUCAUCACUCUGAUAAAAGAUUAAAAAAAAACCUUGGACAGAUCUUUGAGAAUUGUGGAACUUCAUAGAGAAGGCUGUUUCUAAUCACAGUCUGAGUAGUUAUAGACAGGUAUCAAUGGACCUAGAUGGAUUGUUUCCAGUCAGCGGCUGUUGGAAAAGUGCGGCUAAGAAUGCUCUCAUAUACCUUUGCCGCAACACAGACAAUGGCACUGCUUAUUGCUGCAAAUUUAUUUUAUAAAGCAAAUUGAAUGCACUCCAAAUUGUGUUAUAGCAAUGGAAACAGAAGCAGAAAGUAGUGACAACAAUCCAGACUCUGGCCUAUCUCUCCUUUUAUUCAUCCUCAGAGUUGUAAGAGUGAUCAUUUAAAAUGUAACUCUUCUCACAAAGGACUUUGAAGAAAAAGUUUAAUGGCCCUAUUUCAAGUACCUCAAGCAUGUGAGUAUAUUUCCAGCCUUCAGAAGAAAAUGCUGAUUUGUAUACUGUGUGUUAGUCACAUGAAUUGCUUUUUCAACACACAUGCUUUCUUUUAUUCGUGUUCUUUACCAGAAUGACCUUUUCCAUUUCACUACCAAGUGAAAUCCGUCUCAUCAUCUAAGACCAGUUUUAUCGUAACAUUCUCUUCUAAGUUCUCACUAACUCCCUCUCCCUGCAGCAAAUUUCAUCUUCUGGAUCUGAUAUUGGACUUAUACACUGACUUAUUUAGAACCAAUUAGUAUAUCAUUCUGUCACACUAAAGUAUGAGGAGAUGUAAACCCAUUUCCAUUUCUGCUUUGUGAGUGUUUUGCAAUCAUGGCCUAUGUGUUAUGUAUUCAUCUGUGUAAUCCUAACCCUUAGCAAA